rnacentral:tRNA from 1 species
GCCUCUGUGGUUCAGUGGUUGAGCGUUGGACUCACAAUCCAGAGUUCCCGGGUUCGAAUCCCGGUGGAGACA